rnacentral:rRNA from 1 species
UACGUAGGGGGCUAGCGUUGUCCGGAUUUAUUGGGCGUAAAGAGCGUGUAGGCGGCCAGGUAGGUCUGCUGUGAAAACUCGAGGCUCAACCUCGAGACGUCGGCGGAAACCAUCUGGCUAGAGUCCGGAAGAGGAGAGUGGAAUUCCUGGUGGUAGCGGUGAAAUGCGCAGAUAUCAGGAAGAACACCCGUGGCGAAGGCGGCAUCCUGGACCGGUAUUGACGCUGAGGCGCGAAAGCUAGGGGAGCAAACGGG